UACGUAGGUGGCAAGCGUUGUCCGGAUUUAUUGGGUUUAAAGGGUGCGUAGGCGGUCUAUUAAGUCAGUGCUGAAAUACUCCAGCUUAACUGGAGGGGUGGCAUUGAUACUGAUGGACUUGAGUACAGAUGAGGUAGGCGGAAUUGACGGUGUAGCGGUGAAAUGCAUAGAUAUCGUCAAGAACACCGAUAGCGAAGGCAGCUUACCGGUUGUAACUGAACGCGUGAUGCACGAAAGUGUGGGGAUCAAACAGG
rnacentral:rRNA from 1 species